rnacentral:rRNA from 1 species
AUUCCAGCUCCAAUAGCGUAUAUUAAAGUUGUUGCAGUUAAAAAGCUCGUAGUUGGAUUUCUGACAGGGGGCCGAACACCACUGUAGUGAGUGUUUUGGUACCUGUCAUCCUUCUGUUAACCCUAGCGUCAUUCAUUUGUCGUUGGGCGGACCAGAUACUUUACCUUGAGAAAAUUAGAGUGUUCCAGGCAGGCCUAGCCGGAAUACAUUAGCAUGGAAUAAUGGAAUAGGACUAUAGUCUCGUCGUUGGUUACGUGGACUGCAGUAAUGAUUAAUAGGGAUAGUUGGGGGCAUUAGUAUUUAUUAGCUAGAGGUGGAAUUCUCUAAUUUGAUAAAGACUAACUUAUGCGAAAGCAUUUGCCAAGGAUGUUUUCAUUG